AGUGAACGCUGGCGGUAGGCCUAACACAUGCAAGUCGAACGGCAGCACAGUAAGAGCUUGCUCUUACGGGUGGCGAGUGGCGGACGGGUGAGGAAUACAUCGGAAUCUACUUUUUCGUGGGGGAUAACGUAGGGAAACUUACGCUAAUACCGCAUACGACCUACGGGUGAAAGCAGGGGAUCUUCGGACCUUGCGCGAUUGAAUGAGCCGAUGUCGGAUUAGCUAGUUGGCGGGGUAAAGGCCCACCAAGGCGCCGAUCCGUAGCUGGUCUGAGAGGAUGAUCAGCCACACUGGAACUGGGACACGGUCCAGACUCCUACGGGAGGCAGCAGUGGGGAAUAUUGGACAAUGGGCGCAAGCCUGAUCCAGCCAUCCCGCGUGGGUGAAGAAGGCCUUCGGGUUGUAAAGCCCUUUUGUUGGGAAAGAAAAGCAGCAGGUUAAUACCCCGCUGUUCUGACGGUACCCAAAGAAUAAGCACCGGCUAACUUCGUG
rnacentral:rRNA from 1 species